AGUGUGUGUGUUAGUGGAAGCGUCUGGAAAGGCGUGCGAUACAGGGUGACAGCCCCGUACACAAAAAUGCACAUACUGUGAGCUCGAUGAGUAGGGCGGGACACGUGGUAUCCUGUCUGAAUAUGGGGGGACCAUCCUCCAAGGCUAAAUACUCCUGACUGACCGAUAGUGAACCAGUACCGUGAGGGAAAGGCGAAAAGAACCCCGGCGAGGGGAGUGAAAAAGAACCUGAAACCGUGUACGUACAAGCAGUGGGAGCACGCUUAGGCGUGUGACUGCGUACCUUUUGUAUAAUGGGUCAGCGACUUAUAUUCUGUAGCAAGGUUAACCGAAUAGGGGAGCCGAAGGGAAACCGAGUCUUAACUGGGCGUUAAGUUGCAGGGUAUAGACCCGAAACCCGGUGAUCUAGCCAUGGGCAGGUUGAAGGUUGGGUAACACUAACUGGAGGACCGAACCGACUAAUGUUGAAAAAUUAGCGGAUGACUUGUGGCUGGGGGUGAAAGGCCAAUCAAACCGGGAGAUAGCUGGUUCUCCCCGAAAGCU
rnacentral:rRNA from 1 species